GACAGAGGAUGCAAGCGUUAUCCGGAAUGAUUGGGCGUAAAGCGUCUGUAGGUGGCUUUUUAAGUCUGCCGUCAAAUCCCAGGGCUUAACCCUGGACAGGCGGUGGAAACUACCAAGCUGGAGUACGGUAGGGGCAGAGGGAAUUUCCGGUGGAGCGGUGAAAUGCGCAGAUAUCAGGAGGAACACCGACGGCGAAGGCAGCACUCUGGGCCGGUACUGACGCUGAGGAGCGAAAGCGUGGGGAGCAAACAGG
rnacentral:rRNA from 1 species